rnacentral:rRNA from 1 species
AUUGAACGCUGGCGGCAUGCCUUACACAUGCAAGUCGAACGGCAGCACGGGUGCUUGCACCUGGUGGCGAGUGGCGAACGGGUGAGUAAUACAUCGGAACGUACCUUAUCGCGGGGGAUAACGCAGCGAAAGUUGCGCUAAUACCGCAUACGCCCUGAGGGGGAAAGCGGGGGACCGUAAGGCCUCGCGCGAUUAGAGCGGCCGAUGUCUGAUUAGCUUGUUGGUGAGGUAAAAGCGCACCAAGGCGAUGAUCAGUAGUUGGUCUGAGAGGACGAUCAGCCACACUGGGACUGAGACACGGCCCAGACUCCUACGGGAGGCAGCAGCGGGGAAUUUUGGACAAUGGGGGCAACCCUGAUCCAGCAAUGCCGCGUGAGUGAAGAAGGCCUUCGGGUUGUAAAGCUCUUUUGUCAGGGAAGAAACAGCAGCUCUAACACAGUCUGCGAAUGACGGUACCUGAAGAAUAAGCACCGGCUAACUACGUGCCAGCCGCCGCGGUAA